CUACGGGUGGCUGCAGUGAGGAAUAUUGCACAAUGGGCGCAAGCCUGAUGCAGCCAUGCCGCGUGUAUGAAGAAGGCCUUCGGGUUGUAAAGUACUUUCAGCGGGGAGGAAGGGAGUAAAGUUAAUACCUUUGCUCAUUGACGUUACCCGCAGAAGAAGCACCGGCUAACUCCGUGCCAGCAGCCGCGGUAAUACGGAGGGUGCAAGCGUUAAUCGGAAUUACUGGGCGUAAAGCGCACGCAGGCGGUUUGUUAAGUCAGAUGUGAAAUCCCCGGGCUCAACCUGGGAACUGCAUCUGAUACUGGCAAGCUUGAGUCUCGUAGAGGGGGGUAGAAUUCCAGGUGUAGCGGUGAAAUGCGUAGAGAUCUGGAGGAUUACCGGUGGCGAAGGCGGCCCCCUGGACGAAGACUGACGCUCAGGUGCGAAAGCGUGGGGAGCAAACAGGAUUAGAUACCCUUGUAGUC
rnacentral:rRNA from 1 species